UCUCGAUAGAGUAAAAGUUAACUCAAAUUUGUAUGGAGUUGGAACGUUUGCCGCUAGGGGCGCUGUUCCAACUGCAUACAAAUUUGAGUUAACUUUUACGCUAUCGA
rnacentral:pre_miRNA from 9 species